GCGGGGGUAACCAAGCCCGGUUAAGUGGAGCCGCCGUAAGGUGCUGGCCUGCUAAGCCAGUUCCCCGUUGGGGAGCGCGGGUUCAAAGCCGAUGGGAGAAAUUAUGCUCCUAAGGUGGUAAUCCCGCCCCCCGCGCCA
rnacentral:tRNA from 1 species